rnacentral:lncRNA from 1 species
CUGGGACUCCUGUGACCCAUGUAGAUACGGUGCUUCCCUCUGACUCGAAGGGUUUGGCCCCCGACCCCGGAACGGCCUGAAGCUUGGACUGUCGGCCCUGCCCUUCUUCUGGGCUGGGAGAAAGGGCAGGCAAGAGGCCUUGGGGGUUGGGGCGGGAGACCGAAGGUGGGGAUGUGCCGCUGUGUACAGCCGACUUGCCUGCCCAUCACCCAAACACCAAGUUCCGCUCGCAGAGGAAGUGAGAGGUGUCCGAUUCGGUCUCCCAGAACGCAGCUGGGCUGCCUGAAACGAGCGCCGCGGCGACUCUGAAGGAGGUGUCAUCCCUGGGCCAGUACAGGAUUGAGUCACAGAAGCCGCCACUCCUGCGUCAAAAAUACUGGGCCAUUGUCCCAGGGAGUUUGGCCCCUCAGUCGUCAUUUCCGACCCGCUCCCUGGAAUCCCAAUGAAGGAAAAAGGGGAGGAAAAGAAGCGGAAACCAGAAUGGCUAAGCAAGCCGAGGAAGACGAGCCCCGGCCAGCUGGAGCAGCACCUGAGUGUGCGACCCCACCCCCCACUGGGGCAUCUUCUCCUUGGUUACAUUCCAGACCCGGAAGCGAAUCCCGGCUGUAUGGUGUCCAAAGACCUACAAUCUGGGGGCAUUCCUUAAUAAAAAGAAUCCAAGAUUCUGAAAACAAACUUAAGUACAAAAGAUUGGAGGCUGGAGAUCCGAGACCAGGGUGCCAGCAUGGUCGGGUUCUGGUGAGAGCCCUCUUCUGGUUGCAGACUGUAGACUUCUCAUUGCAUCCUCUCAUGUGGUAGAAGUAAAUAGGACCUCACAAUGCACCUCUUACCCAGAGAGGCACGAUGAUUGUCUAAGAACACAGGCAAGCUGGCGGAGGCUGUCGGAUGGCGACCUGUGCUCUGGGGCUUUCCUGGGCUUCACUACAGGGGGGAAGAGCGACAUCCAGUGACCCUGAGCUCAGGGACCAAGGUAUGUGGCUUGAAAUCCUAUCUGACAAAAACCAUUUAAACACGUACUGAGUUCAAGGGGAGAGAACAGAGGAAUGAAGGAUGCAAGAACCUAGGAAUCUCGCGGGCCCCACACCAUCCACUGGCCCCCAAGAAGGUGGCACCAGGAACACGGGGUCCACAGCAGGGAACAGCAGCAGGAGCUUGGGAAACCCUUUGAAAAGGGCAGGUAUUCAGCCUACAAGAAGCUGGAGAGCCAUACGACUCCACCUGAACAAGCACCUUUGGUUCAAGAACCAGUGGGCCUAAUGCUCUCCACAGCAGGAACAGCAACAACCACAGCAAUACCUGGGGCACCCAGGCCUCCUCUCACCCAAGACCCUUUCAGGGACCUUCUCCCACCCCCACGACAUCUAGGCACCAAUGAGGGGCGGACUCUGCAGACAGGAGAAGCUCUAGCACUAGGAUGUUACUGAAUUUGUAGGAGAGUCUGAUCCUGAAAUGUCCUGCAGAUUCCGUGGGGAACCCAGACAGGACCGAGGCCGCAGUCUGCAAGCUUCACUGAUGGCACUCUCUGAAGCUGUGGCUUGACUAUCUUCACUCUGUUUACUAUUCCAUAGCGUGAUCGGCACACUAUUUUUUUAAUCCAGUCCACUGUUCACGGUCAUUUGGCUGUUUUCACUUUGCAACCAUGCCAAAUUAUGCUGUGAAUGAUCCCAUCCUCGUCAUUGGGUUUGUGCCCGCAUUGUCGUUGAUUCCUAGC